GACGAACGCUGGCGGCGUGCUUAACACAUGCAAGUCGAACGGAAAGGCCCUGCUUUUGUGGGGUGCUCGAGUGGCGAACGGGUGAGUAACACGUGAGUAACCUGCCCUUGACUUUUGUAUAACUUCAGGAAACUGGGUCUAAUACCGGAUAGGAGCUCCUGCUGCAUGGUGGGGGUUGGAAAGUUUCGGCGGUUGGGUAUGGACUCGCGGCUUAUCAGCUUGUUGGUGGGGUAGUGGCUUACCAAGGCUUUGACGGGUAGCCGGCCUGAGAGGGUGACCGGCCACAUUGGGACUGAGAUACGGCCCAGACUCCUACGGGAGGAAGCAGUGGGGAAUAUUGCACAAUGGGCGGAAGCCUGAUGCAGCAACGCCGCGUGCGGGAUGACGGCCUUCGGGUUGUAAACCGCUUUCGCCUGUGACGAAGCGUGAGUGACGGUAAUGUGUAAAGAAGCACCGGCUAACUACGUG
rnacentral:rRNA from 1 species